GUCCGCCCCAGGAGAAGGUCUGUGUCUGUGUCUGGCCUGGAGAGGGGCAUGGGGGCCAGCGCUGGGGUCUCCUUUAGUGCUUCUGUUCCUGGAGUCACCUCAUGCCCGAGGAUGUCGGCUUUCUGAAAAGGGACAGCCUUCGACAGCAAGGGUGGCACUUCAUGGAGCAAAUAAGACCACUAGUUAUGAUGGAGCAGAGACGAGUGGACCUGGAGCACUGAGGGCUGCGUGCUUGUGAGCUGGCUGGUAUUUUGGCAUUGCCCAACACUGCAGUUCUGGUCACGGGAGCUGUGCUUUGUGAGCCUUGUACCCACCUAUGGAAAACCAGGCAUGGAGCAGAGCUGCUAAAGCACUGGCUGUGGUUGUGCAGUCACUGCAGCAUGCCAUAAAUCCAGCUGAUGAUGACAGGGACACUCCAAACCCUCCGUACUAUUUAUUGCCUCUGUGGCUGCUGGGUCUCGGCGAGCAGAGGUGUUGCUGCUCUGCUGUUUGCAGCCCGUGAGAGGGCAGCACAAGGCCGCCGGUUGUUGGCUGGGGGUUUUCAGGUGGUGAAACUGGGCAUCGUUAAUAGUGCGUUGAGAGCAGCAUCGCGCGAUGGAGCCAAUCCUCUGAAACUUCUUCUGAAGCAAUGUGUGAAUGUUUGCUUAAAUCUUGCCCCGGAGCAUCCUCAUUCCAGUGACUAAUGUGCGAAACCGACCAGGAGUAGAAUGAAAAGUUAUUCACUCUGCUUUUCCCUGCGGAUGAAAAGUGUAAUGAACGUUGACCCUUGCUGCAUUUCUGCAGGAGACUGUGAAAAUCCUUCAUCUUCAUACUGGGCAGGAUCUGUGUCUCUGUCAUCAUUCUGCAGCAUGGCCAGUACUGAUUGCUCUAGAAUAUCGACUCUUCAGCGCUCAUGGCUGAGUAAUACAGAACUUGCUUUUCCUGGGAUAAUCCAUAGAGAUGGAUGUUGGGCAAUGAAAAUGCAAAAGGAAGCCAGGAUCAUGUGAUUGUGUUGGACCAGGAGAAGGAAAGGGAUCCACACGGCCCUGCCAGCCCUCCUUGUUUGGGGCAGAAUGAACAGGCUUGCAGGGCUUGCAGGCAUUUGAGCUGUGUCCUGGCCCUCACUGCUUCCUCUGAAGGAAGAUGAGCAUAGCAGAGCAGGAACUUCACUGGUCCAGAGGACUUGCACAUGGAGGGUGCGAGUUUCACUGUUUUAGUGGAAAGGCAAUGACGCUGUGACUUUUGCCAAGACUUGCCAGCUGUGAGAAUGAAAGCCUUCCCGUAAAGAGCAGUCCUGAGAGCCACCGGCAUGUCCUGUGGACAACUGAGCAGCUUUGAGACAGGACAGCUUUGAAGUCAUUGAGGACUGGGAAAGCUACUGGUUGGGCAUGGUGAGUGAAUCCAGAAGAACGUAACAAGGUGAAUUAAACACCCACUAUUCUUUGCUUGGGGGAGAUUUUAAGCAGGGUUGACAUCUUUAUCCCUUCUCUUGAGGCAGCUCAGGCAAAAAGAAGAGAUGCAAAUCAGUGUUAACUUGGGUGUUUCCUCCCUUUGAUCGUUCUGAGUCACUCAACCUUCAUGUUCUUCUCUUGCUUCUUGGCAAGUGGCAUGUCCAGUGGGGUGAACAGUUCAGCUGCUAGCAUUAGGGGUAGUUUUGGUUGUCCCAGUGCCCUAAGAAAAUCUUGGACCAUGGGUGUAGGGACCUCACUUGUCCUUCAUGUUCUGCUUCCCCUCUACUUUUUUUCAGCUUAUGGUAAAAAGGUGCCUUUGUGGCAGACUUGCUCUGGGCUCCUCUGUCCUGAGAAACACUCAUGUGGAGGGCUUGGUGCUGCUCCUGGUGCUUUGCAGUGAAGAGGCUGGUGCAAGGUGUUGGUUCUGUUAUCCAGUAAAGGAGCUAGAGUGGAUCCAGACACUCAUCUCUUGGCAAGGCAGGGG